UGCCAUACAAUCACCGAAGUUAAGCAACGUUGAGCCUGGUUAGUACCUAGAUGGGGGACUGUUUGGGAAUACCAGGUGCUGUAAG